UGCGUUGUGGGUGCAAGCUUACGCGCACGGCGAGACCGCGGACGGCUCAUUAAAUCAGUCGUGGUCCAGAUGGGCUAGUGUUAUCUUACUUGGAUAACUGUGGUAAUUCCAGAGCUAAUACAUGCAACUGAAGGCUCGAUCGGUCGAGGGGCAACUCUCGGCUGUGACGGCUGCUUUUAUUAGACCAAACCGCUAUUGGCUUCGGCCCUUAGACCCGUGUUAUGGUGACUCUGAAUAACACCACUUGACAAGCGCACGUAUCCACUCGUUGGGACGGCGCUGCCACUUUCGAGUGUCUGCCUUAUCAGCUAUGUAUCGUUCGUUAUGUGCGACCGAUGGCUUUGACGGGUAACGGGGAAUCAGAGUUCGAUUCCGGAGAGGCAGCCUGAGAAACGGCUACCACGUCCAAGGACGGCAGCAGGCACGCAAAUUACCCAAUCCCAGCAACUGGGGGAGGUAGUGACGAAAUCUAACGAUGCGGGCGCCCCUUCUGGGGCCCCGCAAUCGGAAUGAGCAUUCUCUUUCUAAACACCCUGUUGAGAACCUACUGAAGGGCAAGUCUGGUGCCAGCAGCCGCGGUAAUUCCAGCUUCAGCAGCAUAUACUAAUGUUGCUGCGGUUAAAAGGCUCGCAGUUGAAUGUCAGUAUCGAGCGUAGCGAUGGUGGACGUUGGGGUUUGUCUGGUGGAAUGCGGUGUAUUCUCCUUUGGGGGCCUCACGGUUUUCUUUGGUGUUUCCUGUGUGAAGCUGGGCAAGCUUAAGCCCCCGUCCGUGUCAAGCCUCCUCGCUCGUGUACAAAGUGGAAAUUUCUGUCCAUGGGAUGAGUGCUGGGGGGUGCGUGUCCUAUCCUGGGUGCAAACUUCUCGGUGUGAUUCCCUUGAGUUUCCAAAGGCACCUUGAGUAAAUCAGAGUGCUCAAAGCAGUCGUAAGGAGGGUUCGGUUCUGCCGCGCCCUCCGUGAUGAAUGUCAUUGUGACAGACGGUCUUGGUUUUGCAUGGUAUGUCGAAAGACGCCGCCGCUGUUGGUAACGGGUCUGGUGCGGGGUUGUGUUAUCUUUGCUUUAUUGCGGGGGUGGCUUGGCCAUUUACAAAGACCAACAGUUGCGGAAUGAUUAAGAGGAACGGUCGAGGGCAUUGGUAUUGCGAGGCGAGAGGUGAAAUUCUAUGACCCCCGCAAGACCUCCUGAAGCGAAAGCGUCUGCCAAGGACGUUUUCAUUAAUCAUGAACGAAAGUUAGAGGAUCGAAGGCGAUCAGAUACCGCCCUAGUUCUAACCCUAAACGAUGCCAACCAUCAAUCCGCGCGUAGCACCCUUUCUAACGGGCUCGGCGGGCAGCUCCCCUCUCACGGGAAACCAGAGUCUCUGGGUUCCGGGGGGAGUCUGGUUGCAAAGCUGAAACUUAAAGGAAUUGACGGAAAGGCACCACCAGGCGUGGAGCCUGCGGCUUAAUUUGACUCAACACGGGCCAUCUCACCAGGCCAGCACUCUUGUAUGAUUGACAGAUUGAGAGUUCUUUCUCGAUUCAGUGGAUGGUGGUGCAUGGCCGUUCUUAGUUGGUGGAGUGAUCUGUCUGGUUAAUUCCGAUAACGAACGAGACUCUCCCCUGCUAAAUAGUCGGUUGGAUCUUGAUUCGAGAGUGCCGAAGCGUGUUGUUAAGGUGGAGUCGCGAUUACCUGGUGUGUGCCGCGUUAACGCGUGUGUGCCUCUGGGGACGUUGUGUUCUCGCCUGGCCUCGUUGGUUGCACUCCAAGUCCGCCGCUUGCCCGGCUGCGGAUGCGUUUCGCGCGUGUUCGUGGUGGGCAAAACUCUUCUUAGAGGGAUUGACGGUUCUGAAGCCGUAAGAGACUGAGAGCAAUAACAGGUCUGUGAUGCCCUUAGAUGUUCUGGGCCGCACGCGCGCUACAAUGCCGGGCUCAGCAGGUGUUUGUCCUUCUCCGAGAGGAGUGGGUAACCCUCUGAAAGCCCUUUAAACACUUUCGGUGCUGCGUCGGAUUCCUUGUGUUUUCGGCGUGGCCUAUUGGCUUGCUUGGGCCUGGGGCUUGCAAUUCUUUCCCACAAACGAGGAAUGCCUAGUAGCGGCGGAUCACUGAGUUCGCUGUGACUCAGUCCCUGCCCUUUGUACACACCGCCCGUCGCUACUACCGAUUGGGUGUACCAGUGAGAUCCUUGGACUGGCGAGCCUUGCUUACUGCUCACGCGGCGAGCAAGUGUGUACGACGGAAAGAGGCUCGAACUGGUGCACUUAGAGGAAGUAAAAGUCGUAACAAGGUUCCCGUAGGUGAACCUUCGGGAGGAUCAUAA
rnacentral:rRNA from 1 species